AAUGAUGAUUUAAUUAUAAAAUUCAUAAAAGGUUAAUUACAUAGUCUUUUACGCUCCAGGAGUAAAAUUGAUAUUUUAUGAAUUUUUUGUUACAUAUUAAUUGAGUUUUAACGGAAUAGUGGAAAAAUGCUAACAGUUUAAACGUUUGAUGGUAAAUUAAUAAUUUUACCAAACCAUGAUACUGACAUGAUGUGUCAGAAUACCUUUAGUGGAAAAAUGAUAAUAUCCCUAAAAGAAAAGAAAAGAAAACUAGGAAACAUUUUUAAUUCAUGUACUAUUCAUCUCCAGAUUGGGUGACGUUUCGAGAAAAUGAUUUCUUUUUGACUGAAUAGUCGGGUGGCGAAGUUUAAUAUGAGCCACAAGCAUGGCUGUGAUUGGUCAGAGUAGCGAGUACACAGGCCAUGGUACGCUCAGGCGGUGAUACAACUUCCCGGAAGAAAAAAAACAAACAAUGAUAUAAUUGGAAAUUUGUGGGGGAAAAAAUCCAAAUGAUAUUUUUGAGGAGGAGGAUAAAUUUAAAAUAUCUCCAGCCCACCAAAAGAGAUGAUGAAAGAUAGCUAUUGCCUAUUGGAGUCUCUCAGGUGACUUUUACGUGCACUUUUCGCCACGUCAUCACCACUUGCCGCCCUUAUUCAUCAGUGCCGCCACGUGCACUCCAGAGAGAGAGAGAGAGACACCGGAUAUGGAUGGUUCUAGGCCACUCAUUUGUUGCUGGACUCCAUUAAUCAAUCUCAAAAAUUACUAACCACAUGUUUUUUUCUCAUUGCGGUUUCUGAAGUUUCUCGGUUCAUUGAAAGGGGCAUUAGCUAAUAGCGAUCAUGAAAGUCUUGAAGACUAAAAAGUUCAUAAAAGUA
rnacentral:lncRNA from 1 species